UGUCCCGUGAUCGUGCUAACUGGGAUGACCGAACCACAUCCAUGUUGCUUGCCACUGGUCCGACAAAGGCCCUACCACUAUCGGUUGGACUAAUAUCUAUCGUUCCUUCAACGAGUCCACUAAACUGGGAUACCGCAAAAAACAGAUUCAGAAUAAGUUCAGCGACCUCAAAAGGGCGUACUUCAAUUGGCGCGAUGGUUUCAAACAAAGUGGGCUUGGCCGUGACCCGGAGACCGGUGAGGUGGCAGUUGACCCCGUUUGGUAUGCUGCCCGCCAUGGGGAAAGUAGCGAACUAGCUGGUGAGAAGUACAAACAUCUGCCAUUCUAUGAGCAACUGUUCUCGCUUUUCGGACACACCCCUCGUGAUAGGGGCGAGUUGGUAUCUGCCGGGGGACAUGGUACUGACCAAACCUCCAGUGGUGACAGCACUCAGACUCCUCAGGACUUGUCGGAUGAGCUUGGAAGAUCCCGUAGUGUUGGUCAGUCCUCCAAAAGAUCUAGCAGGGAGCAUUCCAUUUGCAGCCCAAUUAAAAAGAAGAGUAGCACGACGCCCUCCCUUGAUGCCCUUGAUGGCAUCCUUAAGGACGUGAACGAGCGCAAGUCCCGUCGUAUGGCUGAAGCUGAGGAGAUGGCCCAAGUCAAUCAGAUUUUGAAUGAGGAUGGGUACAGUGAGAGUGAUGUAUUUUUUGCCCAAGCCUUGAAUCUUUGCACACACAGGCUCCAUUGUAGGGCUUUCCUGGAUUUGAAGACCAAAGAAGGCCGGUACAACUACGUCAAGGUGUCUUGGGACAUGAUGACUCUAAAGUCCAAGUAAUCCAAACAAACGAUACUGCUGCGUGUUUUUCAUGUGUACCUGUUUUCGUUAAUGCUCAUGUUGCAUACUUUGAGUCCUGUUUGUUGUUCUUCGGACUGUUUUGUGAACUUGGUUGAUGCUCAAUGUUUGUAUGGUGAAUAAACGAUGUGUGCUGCACUCUUGGUGCCUAGGUCAUAUUGUAUGGUAUCGUUUGAAUAUGAAUAUUGUUAAUUAUUAUGUGCUGCAAAUAUGCUAGGCCAUCUGCAUUAUUUCUUGACAUCUCAUGAAUUGAAAUGAAUCAGGUUUGUUAUGUGAUUAUUUUCUUAGUUGUUUGACGUUUUGAUAACUCGCUGUUUCAUUUUGUUUGCUGGUUCACACAGGGGUGCGGGCAGGUAUGCACGGCUUUGGAACGCAGGGAUGAUUGAGUCACAACAAAAGAUUUCAGGGGGUGUGUUGGUGUUUAGCCGCCAAGCUUUCCGAGGGAUACCCCGAGUAGAUUGAUUGUAGGCAGGGACUCGCCGAGAUCUGGAACACAAUGGUGCAAGGAACACAAAGAUUUUGACAGGUUCGGUCCGCCGGAGCGUAAUACCCUACGUCCUGUGUGGUUGUCUGUAUUGCCUUGAGGAGGUUGUAUGUUUUGGAGGUGUCCCUGCCUGCCAUUAUAUAGUCUGGGGGACAGGGUUACAUGGAAAGUCCUAGUCGAGUACUAUAGGAGUCCUUCCCAAUGUUUAUCAGGUAGUUUCCUUCUAUUCGACUAGUCUUACUUCUGUACGAGUAGUUACAAUAUGAUAAGGUAUAUCCCAUGCGCUAUCCCUUACUCUAGAACAUUCUAUGCCCAUGAGCAGUCCCACUGCCCUGGGUCUGACAAGCCCCCGAGCUCUUCGUAGCCGAGUCCUGUAGGCGUCGAGUACUUCUGAAGAUGUCUUUAAAAGCUUUGAGUAAUCUACUGAAUACUUGUAUCGUUCAGAAUCUUCUGUCGAAUACUUUGAGUAGUCUUUCGAGUACUUUGAGUAAUCCACCGAAUGCUCACAUCAUUCAGAAUCUUCCAUCGAGUACUUCGAGUAGUCUUUCAGGUACUUUCUUCGGCUGCUUCGAGGCUAUGAGGUGCUCAAGCCCCGAAUCAACAUCUUUUUAUAUUGUGCGUGAUAUACUCGCGCUCCAUAUGGAGUAGCCCCCGAGCCUUAGGUUGAAUCGAAGAAUCAGGCUGAGGGUCAAAUCUGUCUUCAAUCAUAGUCUUCCAAAUCUUCAUUUGUCUUUCAAAUAUCCUUGAGAAAUAUGACAUUUAUGGCACAUAUUCCGCAACCCCCCGAGCCUUGACUCAAAAUUCUGUGAAUUUAGAAUUAAGGAUCAAAGUCGUGGUAUGGAAAUGUAUAUUGGUGUCGUUUGGUCUUCCAACAAAUUACAAAUCUGCCACCGCCACUGGCUAUUUAAGUGUGUGGUAGGUUUUUACCCUAAGUUACUUCUCCUGGCCACCGCCUUUGCUUUAGAUCAAAUCUGCCUUUUUACCCUUCUUUCAUUGCCUCUCCAGUAGCCCCCGAGCGCAUGCGCGAGAAACACCUCGUGCCAUUCCGGAUGGCGCCCAAGAAAUCUUGUCGUGUGGAGCAGGAAAAAAGCAGUCGAGACUUUGGCGUCCGGAUGGAAGAAAUGCAAGAUGUCAGAAUCUGCCAUCUGCACACUUGUUGAAGAUCGUCUGCUGCAAUCUCGAGCCAUUGUUCAAUGGCAUUCUGCUGAAGGAGAAGAUAGGCCGUACGAAGGUACCAACGAAAUCGUCCUAUUUUGAUCUUUCAUUGAGCGUGGUCUUGCUGUUCUCACAUAGGAUUUCUUUAGGGAGUUAUUGCAUCAUUGGUGAAUCCAAAUGCACCAUCUGACCCCUAAUUUGAUCCUCCAUCUUUCCAUUUUCACUCAUCUGUGUGGAGCCUUUCUUGGGAUUGAUCCCCAUUUUGAUUUAUUCCGCCAUCUUUUUCUAGUACGCCCUCAACUGAGCACCAAGAAAAUUGCGGAAAUCGGGGGUGCUGAGGUCUUGCUGUGUCCCGAAAUGGAAGAAAAAUACCUCUAUUACCAUCCAACCACUCUGAAGGCAGAAUGGAAGAGCGUUUGGUUUUAUGUUGGGAAUUAUCCACCAGCCCUUCCAGAACGCAUUCCAGGUCCACCAAAAGUAUGUAGUAAUUGGUCAGAAGCUGGUCCUGGUGGGGUUCAAAUAAACAAGCUGCUGGAUGACAUUGCUGUUCUCAAAGAUUGCGGAGUGAUCGGCGGCUCCAUUGUAUAUUCAUGGAUGAAUCGCCAAGUGCAGCCUUUGCAGAAGUGAGAAAAUCCUGGAUAUUUGUAUGAAGGACCCACAGAUCCGUCUCGAUUCUCUGCUGAGAAGCUCGAAGGAUUUGAAGCCCUCAAGAGGGUGUGUCGAGUACUUGAUGAUGUGGAGAAGACUCCAUUUCUGCCCAAGGGGCUUUUUAAUAAAAAGCACCUCCCUGAAGAUGAAGAGGUAAGUACUCGAUCCUUGUAACCAAUUGAUGUUCCAUAGGCAUAUUAAUUGAUCUUGAAGAAAACCACUCUUCUUGUUAAUGCAAAUUGAUGUGAUUUUGUAUCGAAGCUUGCCUCCGUUGCCAGGUGGUGAAGAUAUUCUCGGCCCUGCACAAAUUUUUUGUGCAGACCGAGAUCCAGUCGCAGAAGAAGCAGAGUCAAAUUCUGAUGAAGGGCUAACCCCGGCAAACAUUCUUAAGAAGAAGAAGGACAGUAGUGAUCCUAAUAAUGUCAGCCCAGAUCCCAAGCUAAGCUCUUCUAAAGGCCAACCAAAAGGUAUAAGAGCUGUUGCUUGGAAGCAUAAAGCCUCUACUCCUGCAAAUACCAGGAACUUGCUGUGUCAACAGCAUUCAUUCGUGCAUAUGCAAUUUCCUCGAAUACCCUCCUUUCUUCUGACUGGUUUUGCAUAAUAGUCAACAAAGGCAGCUGAGGCAAAGAGUUGAGCCUGCUAGAGUAGAGUCAUCUCCGACUACUUCUGGUGCACCCAGUACUCCAGCAUCGCCAAUACUGGGAGUAGUAACUGAAGAAGCCGAUGAACCAUUACCAGAAGAGCAGACACCGGCCACUACCCCUGCAAUCUCGAGUGCCACGAGAGGAAAACAAGCAGGGUCUGAGCAAGGUGCUAGCACCGGGCUUUGAGUGGUUGGUCUAUCAACACUACCAGCAGCAAUCAGGGAAAGUUUGACCAUAGAUCUGAUUGACGACCCACUCCUGGCCCCUGAGAAGCUGAAGGUGUUGCAGGACAACCUAAAGUCCUGUUAUAAAAUCACAACUGUAAGUAACUUGCCGAGUGCUUUGUCUGACUGCUAUUGCCUGGUUCUUUGUCUUAUGAAUGUCAUGUGUCUUGAUUCAGGAGAUGGCAAAUUGCUCAUAUCUGAAGUCUCCGAAGCUGAAAGCUGUAGUGGAUGCUAGUAAGCUGCUUGAGGAGACAGAAUGCCGACUUCAGGAUAAAACUGACAAGUAUCUGGAGGCCCGCAAUCAAUUGCACUAGUUGAAAUAAGAAAGUACUCGACAAAUCUGGCUCCUGAAAAAGGAUGUCGAGAACUUGGAGAAGGACAAGAAAGAACUCAAAGAAAAAAAUCAAGCCCUCUAGGUGGAAGUAGAUAAUAUGAAAAACCAGAAAGAUGAAAACAAGAGGCUGAAGGAACAGCUGGUCGAGUACUCCGAACCGAAGAUCGCCGCACAAGCAAUUGCUGACAUGGUGGAUCCGCCUGAAGAAGGAGCUGAAGUGUCCAAGAAUUUGGUGGAGCGACUACGAGAAGCUCCCCAAAAAAUUGUUGGAUUUCUCUCAGACAAUACCAAGCUGUAUAUAGGACAUGUGCUGGGACUUGUAGAGUCAUACUGGCCACAGGCAAAUCUGGCCCCUUUAGGAUAGGGCAUGGCAGUAGAAUGUUCUGAGGAGAACUUUGCCUGGAUUCGGGAGGAAUCCAAGCCUAUUGCCGAGAAGAUAAUCGAGAGCUUAGAGCAAGACAAAGAAUGUUAAAUUCUUGUACUUUGAACUCUAAUUGUCUGCUUGGAGAUAUAUGUUUGGUGCAUAUAACCAAGUCAUCCUUUGAGCUGUAUGGCGUUAGGAUAUCA